UGUUGAUGUUUCAAAUUGCCUA
rnacentral:siRNA from 1 species